rnacentral:tRNA from 1 species
UCUCUGGCGGUCCAGUGGUUAGGGCUCUGCGCUCUCGCUGCUGAGAACUCAGGUUCAAUCCCUGGUUGGGGAA